rnacentral:tRNA from 1 species
GAGGGUAUACCUCAGUGGUAGAGCACUUGCCUGGCAUGCAUGAAGUCCUGGGUUCAAUCCCCGGUACCUCCA